rnacentral:rRNA from 1 species
GACGAGCGCUGGCGGCGUGCCUAAUACAUGCAAGUCGAACGAAGCUGUUUUAACUGGUGCUUGCACCGACUUAAACAACUGAGUGGCGAACGGGUGAGUAACACGUGGGUAACCUGCCCCAAAGCGGGGGAUAACAUUUGGAAACAGAUGCUAAUACCGCAAAACCACAGAAACCACAUGGUUUCUGUGUCAAAGAUGGUUUCGGCUAUCACUUUGGGAUGGACCCGCGGCGUAUUAGCUAGUUGGUAAGGUAAUGGCUUACCAAGGCAAUGAUACGUAGCCGAACUGAGAGGUUGAUCGGCCACAUUGGGACUGAGACACGGCCCAAACUCCUACGGGAGGCAGCAGUAGGGAAUCUUCCACAAUGGACGAAAGUCUGAUGGAGCAACGCCGCGUGAGUGAAGAAGGUUUUCGGAUCGUAAAACUCUGUUGUCAGAGAAGAACGUGUGCGAGAGUAACUGUUCGUGCAGUGACGGUAUCUGGCCAGAAAGCCACGGCUAACUACGUGCCAGCAGCCGCGGUAA